GAAAUGCGAUAAGUAGUGUGAAUUGCAGAAUUCAGUGAAUCAUCGAAUCUUUGAACGCACAUUGCGCCCUUUGGUAUUCCUUAGGGCAUGCCUGUUCGAGCGUCAUCUAAACCCUCAAGCCCUGCUUGGUGUUGGGUGCCUGUCCCGCCCCCAUGCGUGGACUCACCUCAAAUCCAUUGGCGGCCCUCGUGCCGGCCCCGAGCGCAGCAGAAACGCGGUCUCGUGGCCCGGCGGAGCGUGCCCCCAGAAGCAACAUUCACCGUUUUGACCUCGGAUCAGGUAGGGAUACCCGCUGAACUUAAGC
rnacentral:misc_RNA from 1 species